GGUUAAGCGACUAAGCGUACACGGUGGAUGCCCUGGCAGUCAGAGGCGAUGAAGGACGUGCUAAUCUGCGAAAAGCGUCGGUAAGGUGAUAUGAACCGUUAUAACCGGCGAUGUCCGAAUGGGGAAACCCAGUGUGAUUCGUCACACUAUCGUUAACUGAAUACAUAGGUUAACGAGGCGAACCGGGGGAACUGAAACAUCUAAGUACCCCGAGGAAAAGAAAUCAACCGAGAUUCCCCCAGUAGCGGCGAGCGAACGGGGAGCAGCCCAGAGUCUGAAUCAGCUUGUGUGUUAGUGGAACGGUCUGGAAAGUCCGACGGUACAGGGUGAUAGUCCCGUACACCAAAAUGCACAGGCUGUGAACUCGAAGAGUAGGGCGGGACACGUGGUAUCCUGUCUGAAUAUGGGGGGACCAUCCUCCAAGGCUAAAUACUCCUGACUGACCGAUAGUGAACCAGUACCGUGAGGGAAAGGCGAAAAGAACCCCGGCGAGGGGAGUGAAAAAGAACCUGAAACCGUGUACGUACAAGCAGUGGGAGCACCUUCGGGUGUGACUGCGUACCUUUUGUAUAAUGGGUCAGCGACUUAUAUUCUGUAGCAAGGUUAACCGUAUAGGGGAGCCGCAGGGAAACCGAGUCUUAACUGGGCGUUAAGUUGCAGGGUAUAGACCCGAAACCCGGUGAUCUAGCCAUGGGCAGGUUGAAGGUUGGGUAACACUAACUGGAGGACCGAACCGACUAAUGUUGAAAAAUUAGCGGAUGACUUGUGGCUGGGGGUGAAAGGCCAAUCAAACCGGGAGAUAGCUGGUUCUCCCCGAAAGCUAUUUAGGUAGCGCCUCGUGAAUUCAUCUUCGGGGGUAGAGCACUGUUUCGGCUAGGGGGUCAUCCCGACUUACCAACCCGAUGCAAACUACGAAUACCGAAGAAUGUUAUCACGGGAGACACACGGCGGGUGCUAACGUCCGUCGUGAAGAGGGAAACAACCCAGACCGCCAGCUAAGGUCCCAAAGUCAUGGUUAAGUGGGAAACGAUGUGGGAAGGCACAGACAGCCAGGAUGUUGGCUUAGAAGCAGCCAUCAUUUAAAGAAAGCGUAAUAGCUCACUGGUCGAGUCGGCCUGCGCGGAAGAUGUAACGGGGCUAAACCAUGCACCGAAGCUGCGGCAGCGACACUAUGUGUUGUUGGGUAGGGGAGCGUUCUGUAAGCCUGCGAAGGUGUGCUGUGAGGCAUGCUGGAGGUAUCAGAAGUGCGAAUGCUGACAUAAGUAACGAUAAAGCGGGUGAAAAGCCCGCUCGCCGGAAGACCAAGGGUUCCUGUCCAACGUUAAUCGGGGCAGGGUGAGUCGACCCCUAAGGCGAGGCCGAAAGGCGUAGUCGAUGGGAAACAGGUUAAUAUUCCUGUACUUGGUGUUACUGCGAAGGGGGGACGGAGAAGGCUAUGUUAGCCGGGCGACGGUUGUCCCGGUUUAAGCAUGUAGGCUGAUUGUCCAGGCAAAUCCGGAUAAUCAAGGCUGAGGUGUGAUGACGAGGCACUACGGUGCUGAAGUAACAAAUGCCCUGCUUCCAGGAAAAGCCUCUAAGCAUCAGGUAACAUUAAAUCGUACCCCAAACCGACACAGGUGGUCAGGUAGAGAAUACCAAGGCGCUUGAGAGAACUCGGGUGAAGGAACUAGGCAAAAUGGUGCCGUAACUUCGGGAGAAGGCACGCUGGUGUGUAGGUGAAGCCCCUGCGGGUGGAGCUGAGACCAGUCGAAGAUACCAGCUGGCUGCAACUGUUUAUUAAAAACACAGCACUGUGCAAACACGAAAGUGGACGUAUACGGUGUGACGCCUGCCCGGUGCCGGAAGGUUAAUUGAUGGGGUUAUCCGUAAGGAGAAGCUCUUGAUCGAAGCCCCGGUAAACGGCGGCCGUAACUAUAACGGUCCUAAGGUAGCGAAAUUCCUUGUCGGGUAAGUUCCGACCUGCACGAAUGGCGUAAUGAUGGCCAGGCUGUCUCCACCCGAGACUCAGUGAAAUUGAACUCGCUGUGAAGAUGCAGUGUACCCGCGGCAAGACGGAAAGACCCCGUGAACCUUUACUAUAGCUUGACACUGAACAUUGAGCCUUGAUGUGUAGGAUAGGUGGGAGGCUUUGAAGCGUGGACGCCAGUCUGCGUGGAGCCAACCUUGAAAUACCACCCUUUAAUGUUUGAUGUUCUAACGUUGGCCCCUUACCGGGGUUGCGGACAGUGUCUGGUGGGUAGUUUGACUGGGGCGGUCUCCUCCCAAAGCGUAACGGAGGAGCACGAAGGUUAGCUAAUCCUGGUCGGACAUCAGGAGGUUAGUGCAAUGGCAUAAGCUAGCUUGACUGCGAGCGUGACGGCGCGAGCAGGUGCGAAAGCAGGUCAUAGUGAUCCGGUGGUUCUGAAUGGAAGGGCCAUCGCUCAACGGAUAAAAGGUACUCCGGGGAUAACAGGCUGAUACCGCCCAAGAGUUCAUAUCGACGGCGGUGUUUGGCACCUCGAUGUCGGCUCAUCACAUCCUGGGGCUGAAGUAGGUCCCAAGGGUAUGGCUGUUCGCCAUUUAAAGUGGUACGCGAGCUGGGUUUAGAACGUCGUGAGACAGUUCGGUCCCUAUCUGCCGUGGGCGCUGGAGAAUUGAGGGGGGCUGCUCCUAGUACGAGAGGACCGGAGUGGACGCAUCACUGGUGUUCGGGUUGUCAUGCCAAUGGCACUGCCCGGUAGCUAAAUGCGGAAGAGAUAAGUGCUGAAAGCAUCUAAGCACGAAACUUGCCCCGAGAUGAGUUCUCCCUGAGACUUUAAGUCUCCUGAAGGAACGUUAAAGACGAUGACGUUGAUAGGCCGGGUGUGUAAGCGCAGCGAUGCGUUGAGCUAACCGGUACUAAUGAACCGUGAGGCUUAACCUU
rnacentral:rRNA from 1 species